UUGCAUUAGGGAUUGAGGUGGCAUCCUUUUUUGUAAUGUAACAUAGUGAAAUAACAAAAAAGAUAUAACAGAAAGCCCGACCUGAA
rnacentral:sRNA from 1 species